CCAAAUGAGUCAUUUCCUCCACAGAGCUGUUUGACUCUUUCUCCACCUGGAGGGCUUUAUAACCUUCCUGCCCCUACUUCUGUUCCACGCUUCACCCAAGCAGGCAGCAUGCUGCUGCUGCCCAUCCUGCUGGCAGCUUCUUGCUGGUCCCGUGGAGACACGCAGGCAGUGCCAGUGCAAAGCCCAGCAAUGCGGACUCAGGCAGAGGGCCGCUCGGCCAGCAUGGCAUGCCGGCUGACAAAAGAAGACACCGUGCACUGGUACAAGCAGCUUCCUGGGCAGCCGAUCAAGAGAAUACUGUACGUGUCGGGACAGAUACCUGCGUUUGAUGACAGCUCUGACAGACAAAAGUAUCAAGUGAGGAAGCGUGCCUCUGAACCUCUCUAUAGUCUCCAAAUAAAUAAUGUAAACCAGAGGGACGCUGGCACAUAAUACUGUGCGUACUGGUAUUCAUAUCAAGGCAUCACAGCGUUAGAUGGGCCAAGAUAAACCAUACAAAAAGGCACUUGGCACUCCAAAACGCAAGCUCUGAGCUCUGCCCAAACACAGAUACUUCCUCAUUCAGCCCUGCUCUGAUGAUUUUCUGCCACAGGGUAGGAAAAACAACAGCGUAACAUGACAGCUGCUAAAUAGAGGAUAUUAGUAAUCAGGAUAUUAUUUCCAUACUCA